rnacentral:lncRNA from 1 species
CCGAAUCAAGCCACAGAUCGGGAACUGCUGUCACCGCUGGUCAGCUUCAGAUCUGAGCUCCCUGCACCUCUGAGCGAGAGAGAGAAAUUUGCCGACCGAACUUCCGAGGGAGAGAAAACAUAAAGAACUCGUCUCUGAUCCCCGAGUAAGAACCCGAUCCUCGCAAUCCCACACCGCCAGCCUUCGAUCUCCAAUCCUCGCUAAUGAGAGAAAACCCUAACCUUCAACUCACUCGAUGGAGAAACGCUGGAAACAAGGGCGGAAGCUUCCUCUGGUGGAAGGCGCGCGAGGCCGAGA